GUUGUGUGAUUUGUAUUUUUUUGAAAUUGGUUUGGAUUGAUGAUGACAUUGAAUUGGUUUGAAAGGAUUAUGAUUUGAUGAUGAGACAAGUCGGUCCAUUUUUUUAAUUAAUAAAGUUAAUUGAUUACAAUCUAAUUAAAUCGUCUAAUUAAAGUAAUUACAAUUAAUUAUCAAAAUUAUUUGAUUUUAAAAAUUAAUACAAUCAAAUAAUUACGUUAAUUAAAAAUAAUCAACAAAAUCAUCUUAAUUU
rnacentral:lncRNA from 1 species